rnacentral:misc_RNA from 1 species
GAUUAAGAACGCAGCGAAAUGCGAUAAGUAAUGUGAAUUGCAGAAUUCAGUGAAUCAUCGAAUCUUUGAACGCACAUUGCGCCCGCCAGUAUUCUGGCGGGCAUGCCUGUCCGAGCGUCAUUUCAACCCUCGAACCCCUCCGGGGGGUCGGCGUUGGGGACCUCGGGAGCCCCUAAGACGGGAUCCCGGCCCCGAAAUACAGUGGCGGUCUCGCCGCAGCCUCUCCUGCGCAGUAGUUUGCACAACUCGCACCGGGAGCGCGGCGCGUCCACGUCCGUAAAACACCCAACUUCUGAAAUGUUGACCUCGGAUCAGGUAGGAAUACCCGCUGAACUUAAGCAUAUCAAUAAGCGGAGGA